ncrna:Paenibacillus tyrfis L31-Firmicutes ribosomal protein leader
CUCUGAUUCACAUGGUGUUUCAGGGCAAAAGAG